rnacentral:lncRNA from 1 species
NCUGUUACUGACUUUUAUCUACUGGAUUGCGGGAGUUUCAAGCUUCUUUCAAAUGUUAAUUUUUAAUCUCAAUGGUUAGGAAAACAUAGAUACUUUUCUCCCAGCUUUUGCCAAUCCACUCAAUCAAAAUCAAAACUCAAUUUUAAAACUGGUUCAAGGCUGGCUGCACAUGGCAACUGGUCUGGAAAAUUCAAUUUGAUGCUUAGCAUAGUGUAUGAUGAGUUCCCACAAGUUUAUAUGGUGAUAAUAACUAGGUGCAGGCAGCUAGAUACUCACAAAACAAAGUGCAGNAGAAAUUGACUAUGACACUUCCCAAAAUAUGACCAAAAUGAGGUAACCAAGCAAUGACUACAAGCCAAUUCGAAAAUUGACCAUAUGAACAGUAAUCCCUCAGUUUUGAUGCACUUUUAACAGAUGUUUAGCUCAUCAAAUCAACAUAAAACAACUGUUUAAGAAAAUUGGCUAUACUACUAGAUGAAUUCAAGCCAAAUGAGGAAGUGAUA